UGAGCCAUCUCACCAGCCCAGCACUUCUGUUUCUUAAGGCUGUUGCUCCUGUUGUCUCCUUUGCUGAGAAAGUUCUGUUCCCUAAUUUGUACUGUUGACUACUUUUUGUCAUCCAUAUAAGUGUAAACAAAAGUUCUUUCAUCUGAUCUCUUCAUCCUAAAUCAUACUACCCUGUUUUAACUCACAUUACUACCACUGACCUUUUCUAGUGUUUUUUUCUUUUCUACCACUAGAGGGAGACAGAAGCCGUAUCAAUUUAGUCGUAUACUCAACACAGGGAAACUGCAUUUACUGAUGGCUGAGCUUGUCUGAGACGAUAUCAGGAUUCCCCUGCCAAUAUCUUCAUGGACGUCACUUGUCACCAUAAUUGGUGACUUAUAGAAGUUAUUAAUGUACUAGAAAUUAUAGUACAGAAAUCUUAUUUUAGGACUAUAGUACCAAUAGCCUUUUUUUGUGGUGCUGGGGAUAGAACCCAGGGUCUUUCACAUGUAAGCAUUCAUACCAUCACUGAGCUACAAUCCCUGGUUAUCAGCUUCUCACUUUAUUUACCUUCCCCUGACUUUGACAGCCCUGUCUAGUUUGGAACUUAUUAUGUAAUCCACGAUGGCCUUGAAUUUACAGCCAUCCUCAGCCUCUCCAGUGCUAGGAUUAUAAAUAUAUCUGACUAGCUUAUUUUUUUCAUUUUGUUCAGGUUUUUAAUGAGUGUCUUGGUUUCAGAUAUGAAAAACAGAAUUUGGAAGAAAGCCAGUUGGGCCAGUCUGUGGUAGAGCAUGCACUCAAAGUUGAAGCAAGAUGUUAAUGAGUUCUAGGCUGGCUUAGGCUUCAUAGCAAGAUCCUAUCUCAUAAAACAAAAAGUUAACUGGUGAUUCCCUGGAGGUGAGAGGGGUGAGGAGAGAGUGAUAGUUAAUGAAUACAAAGUUCUUUGAGGGAAAAUGAGAAUAUUCUGAAAUUGGCUAUGGCGAUACUCAUACAUUUGUGAAUGUGCAAGGAACACUUCAGAUGAAUGACUUUUGUUGUAUAUGGAUUAGGUUGCAAUAAAACUGGCAUUUAAAAUGUUAUCUAAGCCCUGCAGUUUUCCAGAACUUUUUGUGACAACGAAGAUGAUAUAAAAAGAGUUGAAUAUUUGCUUUUGUUAAAUUUAAUUUUAUUAAUUUUUACUUAUUCACUUUAUAUCUCGCUCACUGUCCCAUUCCUGGUCACCCCCUCCCACAACCCUUCUCCCCAAAUAUUUGCUUUUGAAGCUGUUUGACAGGUGAACUAUUGAUGAGCUCUUGGCAUUGUUCCACUAAGUAGAAGGGCAGAGCUGGAGGUGAGACAUGUGUGACUGACUUUGUCUCACAAAAUAGAAUGAUCACACCAUAGCCUUUCUUCUGAGUUCCACAAUUGGAACUAACUGAAGACUAGCAGUUGCCUCUAAAUCAGCAUGGACUGGACAACACAUGGGCCCUACCUACUACACCAAUAGAGGAACAAAAUUAAGUGGGCAAGUAUGAUAGGUAGUGGCCAGUGGGAAAGAAGAGACCACCUAGGCACAGCAGCUUUUUUGAUUUCACUGGUGCCAAGUAUCCUAGGAUCAGGGCUGGGAUGGAAUUUGAUUUGUCAGUCUGGCAGGCCCAUCCAUGCUCUUAUGGAUUUAAAGAUUGGCUCCAUAGUUAAGUAUAUUAAUGGAAAAGGGACACAGAUGUGAAAAGGGUAAGGAUAUUUGCUCUAAAUAUUUUGUGUGACUGAAAGAAGAGUUUAGGAUGGGUUACAAUGUCACAAUGGGCUGAGUUCUAUGACCACUGUCUAGUGGUUCUUGACCUGUGGGUUGCAACCCUUUUGGGGUCACAUAUCAGAUAUCCUGCGUGUCAGAUAUUUACAUUAUGAUGCAUAACAGUAGCAAAAUUACAGUUGUGGAGUAGCAAUAUGAAAAUUAAUGGGUGGGGGCUUACUACGGCAUGACGAACUGUAUUAAAGGUUGCAGCAUUAGGAACGUUGAGAACCACUAUGUGGGGCCCAUUUUGGCUAUAAUAGGCAGAGUCACAGAAAGUGUAAGGAACUUACAUCUGUGUUAGAAUGAAAGGGAAUCACACUAUGUAGGAAUCAGUGCAUUAAUGGGGAGACUUCACACUUGAAGAUACAAAAGAGGGACUCCAAGCUGUAGAGGAUCAGGUUUUGUGUUUACUAGAGAAUUGACAGGUUCCAGGGUUAGGACAGAGAAAGCACAAGGAGCCAAAUAAUAUUGUCCCAGAAAUAUAAGGAUGCUCUUAAAGAAAAACUGAGACACAUUUAGCUGCAUUAGGCAUAAAAAUCAAAAUGACUGCAGGCUGAAAUAAAAGUGGGCACAUAACAAUAGCAACUGUUAUUGCUAUUGUGCCAGAAUUACCUUGAUAAUUCUGAAGGUAUCUUGAAGGGAAGCAGCAAGAAUUUAAUAUAUUUAGCAAAUGAUAGAACAUUGCUGAUAGUUAUCAGGGUGAGAUAUUGGAUUUUUCAUUUAAAAAUACUUAUUUGCAAAUUUUUUUCUCUUUUUUUCUUUUUAUUUUGUUUGCAAAUUAUUUUUAGUUAUGUAUAUGUAUACAUGUAUGGAGUAUGCACAUAGGUACAGGUGUUUGUAGAUGCUAGAGGAUCUGACUGCCUGCAGCUGGAGUUACAGAGAGUUGUGGUCUGCCUGACAUGGAUGAUAGAAAACAAACUUGGGUUCCCCGAAAGUGCAAAUGCUCUUAACCAAUAAGCCAUCUCUCUAGCCUCAUAGGAUUUAUUAUUUUUAUUUUUAUUAUUUCUAAAUUUGAGAUAAUACAAUUACAUCAUUUCUGUCUUUCCUUUCCUCCAUCCAAACCUUUUCAUAUACUUCUCCUUGUUCUUUUUCAAAUUUAUGGUCUCAUAUUUCAUUAUUGUUUUACAUACAUACAUGUAUAUGUAUAUACAUAUGCAUGUAUAUAUAUACACAUAUACAUGUGUGUAUGUCUAUGUUUCUAAAUAUAUAAGUAUGAUCUGUUCAUUCUGUAUAUUACAUGACUUUUUAAAAAUUAUGUAUUUAUUGUAUGUGCUAUAGCAGAUAUACAGAGUGCAGAGGACAACUGGCAUGAAUGAGUCUGUUUUCUUAUUCAGCCAUAUAGUUCCUAAGGCUGGAACUCAGGUUCUCUGGCUUGGUGGCAGUUGGUUUUUUUUUUUCCCCACUGAGACAUCUAACUAGCUUUGGAUUUGUUAUUUUUUGUAAGGUGUCUUAGUGGAUAUUUAUAAAACAACUAGGAUAUUCAUAAGGUACAUCAUGGUGGGUUAGAUCUUUAAGGUAUUUUCCCUCAUGUUCCUUUUUAAAAGCCCACAAAGUGUGGGUAUCAUCUGUUCCUGAUAUAACAGGAAGAACCUAAGUAGCUCUGAGGAUGUUUAUCUACUCCUGAAACCAUCCUCCUACCUCAACCUGUUAGCUGCUGGAUUACAUGUGUGUAUCCCUUGGCUCAGCUUGAAACACACACACACACACACACACACACACACACACACACACACACACACACCCUACACACAGCUUUCUCCCUGUAGCACUGGGUGUCUUAGAACUUGCUCUGUAGAAUAGCUUGUCCUUGAACUCAGAGAUCUGCUUGCCUUUGCCUCCUGAGUGCUGGGAUUAAAGUCCUGCACCACCACUGGUUGGCAAACUUAUCUUCUUUUAAAACAAUAUUAUACAAGAAUUAUUUUAUUGUAAAAAGUAAGUAAAUCAAAAGCAUCACACUGCUACAUUAAUGUAGCCACUCAAACUGUAAAAGUCCCCAGACUUUAGCACAACUGGUUACAUGAUGGAAAUACCAUUUAGGCUGUGAAUGUACUUAGAUAGCACCACCUGCC
rnacentral:lncRNA from 1 species